UACAGAGGUCCCAAGCGUUGUUCGGAUUCACUGGGCGUAAAGGGUGCGUAGGUGGUUGGGUAAGUCUGACGUGAAAUCUCUGAGCUUAACUCAGAAACUGCGUUGGAUACUAUCCAGCUUGAGAGUUGGAGGGGGGACUGGAAUACUUGGUGUAGCAGUGAAAUGCGUAGAUAUCAAGUGGAACACCAGUGGCGAAGGCGAGUCCCUGGACAACUUCUGACACUGAGGCACGAAAGCUAGGGGAGCAAACGGG
rnacentral:rRNA from 1 species